CAUAUAUGUAUAUCAAUUUCUUAAUCAAUCACAUGUAGACAUACCUGAUAUUCUAAGAGGUUAGACACCAUCACCUACCAAGGACAAAAACUAAUAUACUUAUGAUGUAACUAUAUAUAUGCACACGAUAGCUUUUAAAUCAAUUCAAGAGACUAUAAUGUGUAACUUUAAGUCUUUAACAUAUGGAAGGUGAAGAUGCAUAACUUUUUCUCAUGAAGAUGUCAGACAAAGAAAUCAUAGAGUUUUUGCCAUGAGAUAGAUAAAUUAAAAUUUUGUUAAAACAUAGAAGCUAGACUUCAAUGUAAAUUUACAUAUUCAAUAUGGUGGUGAUAAUUAGCUUUUGGGUUAACUUUAUAUAGAGCUUGUGUUUGAUAAUUAGCUAAAUUUACAUAUUCAAUAUUAGUGUCUCCAAGAAUUCUUUGUUUUCAAUUGCAUUAAU
rnacentral:lncRNA from 1 species